AUUAACACACAAGUUACAAAGGUGCCAGUGUGGAUUAUCACUUCUGAAUGAGUGUUGAGGAAUCUCAAAGGACAUGAACCCUGCUCACAAAAGAAAGCAGAGGUUUCUCCUUAGCGGGAGGGAUACUUGACAGAAGGUCUAGACCUGGAAAGUUUGCUGGGAACGGAGAAGACACUGAGCAGAGUACACAGACACUACGCAAGCAAGUCCACUGGGCAGUAAAACGAAGCCAGAGGCACAGAAAGUGAAAGCAGGAGCUGUCAGUAGGAAACCCUUUGAAGGAUCCUAUGGGGGAAGGGGAAGGACGCCAAGUCUACUCUCCAGGAAAGAGAACGAGAACCACGUAUUGAAGAAAUGAACACAGCCAACCACAGACCAAGAGACAGUUAUUCUUUCCUACUCAACAGUGUGGGUAAACAACUCCAGGACUUUAGAACUGAAUAGUUGUCCAUUUUACAUGUGAGAAACUGAUCCUGAUGGAGGAAACUAUGUCUCCCAGGUCUCACAGUGACUAUGGCCAUGAUCUCUUAGAGGAGCAGCAAGUGACUCUCAGAGGGCAAGAGUGUUACAUUGCCUGGUCACGUGGUUUUUUAAAUGACUGAAGAUGCACAGGAAGUUGCAAAGCCAAACGAAGGGGAGAACAUGACCCUCUUCACUUAAUUUUCAACAACCCCAAUCCAAAAUCAAACCAGAAAAUCCAACACUUGUGCAAGUCACAGGACUUGAAUUGAGUUCCCAUGUAUUUACAUGUACUCUGUGUGCGUGCUUGCCUCCCCCUCCCUGCCCCAGAUAUACAUUCAUGUCUACCAAGAAGUUUGAUUUACGCUUUACAUCUUACAAAUAAAGAAAACUCUGUCAUGGCAUGCAUAUUUCAUAAUAUCUUAGCCAACUGGGAGAAUGGGAAUCGAAGGCUGUGACAAUCCACAUGUACUCUUUUGUUGCUGUUUUGGCUUGUUUGUUGGAGACAAGGUCUCCUGGCCAUCCUGGCUGUCCUGGAACUUACAUCGUGGAUCUGGAUGGCCUUGAGCUUGAGACAACCAUCCUGCCUCUGCCUCCUGAGUGCUGAGAUUGUAAAUGUGCAACACCACAUCUAGCUCUCCCCACCCCCCACAUUUAUUCUUUCCUUGGCUCUCGGUGUAUUGUGAAGAGGAGCCUGAACAAGUGGAUCUGCCAUUUGUGUUA